UUAUAUAUAGCUUAAAGCACACCGGUUCUCGUCCGAUCACCGAAGUUAAGCAACGUUGGGCCCGGUCAGUACUUGGGAGGGUGACCACCUGGGAACACCAUUAAAAUAAACA